UACGUAUGGAGCAAGCGUUAUCCGGAUUUACUGGGUGUAAAGGGAGUGUAGGUGGCUAGGUAAGUCAGAAGUGAAAGCCCGGGGCUCAACCCCGGGACUGCUUUUGAAACUGCAGGGCUAGAGUGCAGGAGGGGCAAGUGGAAUUCCUAGUGUAGCGGUGAAAUGCGUAGAUAUUAGGAGGAACACCAGUGGCGAAGGCGGCUUGCUGGACUGUAACUGACACUGAGGCUCGAAAGCGUGGGGAGCAAACAGG
rnacentral:rRNA from 1 species